GUUUCUGUAGUGUAGUGGUCAUCACGUUCGCCUAACACGCGAAUGGCCCCCAGUCCCAAACUGGGCAGAAACU